GCACCCGUAGCUCAAUUGGAUAGAGCACCAGACUACGAAUCUGGGGGUUAGAGGUUCGAGU
rnacentral:tRNA from 1 species